UUUCCAAGGCUGAUGUUGGCAACACAUAUCUCUACAACCAAGCGAUUUCCUUCGGGUCCUCAUUCUGUUUGGCAAAAGAGAACAGGGGAAAUCCACUCAAGGGCCACCUUUGUAUGCAUUGCUAAUAAGUUCUUUCUUUCCAUUAUAAUCCCAUGGAAAGGGAUGGUACCCCCACAAAGAAAAGAUGGGUCUUUUGGCUAGUGAAGGGUAAUGUUUCUAAAUAAUAUUUGAUUGGUACUUCUGUAUUUAUUUCUUGAGGGGGCGGUGGAAGGAUAAGAAAGGGAAGGUACUUAUUUCUUCCACUUUUAUUUAUGCAAUAUGGAUAACCCUGAAUUGGUUAGUUCGUCUUC